rnacentral:rRNA from 1 species
AUAGAUACCCCGGUAGUCCACGCCGUAAACGAUGAGUGCUAAGUGUUAGAGGGUUUCCGCCCUUUAGUGCUGCAGCUAACGCAUUAAGCACUCCGCCUGGGGAGUACGGUCGCAAGACUGAAACUCAAAGGAAUUGACGGGGGCCCGCACAAGCGGUGGAGCAUGUGGUUUAAUUCGAAGCAACGCGAAGAACCUUACCAGGUCUUGACAUCCCACUGACCGGUAUAGAGAUAUACCUUUCCCUUCGGGGACAGUGGUGACAGGUGGUGCAUGGUUGUCGUCAGCUCGUGUCGUGAGAUGUUGGGUUAAGUCCCGCAACGAGCGCAACCCUUGAUCUUAGUUGCCAGCAUUUAGUUGGGCACUCUAAGGUGACUGCCGGUGACAAACCGGAGGAAGGUGGGGAUGACGUCAAAUCAUCAUGCCCCUUAUGACCUGGGCUACACACGUGCUACAAUGGAUGGUACAAAGGGCUGCAAGACUGCGAAGUCAAGCCAAUCCCAUAAAACCAUUCUCAGUUCGGAUUGCAGG